UACGUAGGGACCAAGCGUUGUCCGGAAUCAUUGGGCGUAAAGAGCGUGUAGGCGGCUUGUUAAGUCUUGCGUGAAAUCUCGGGGCUCAACCCCGAGCGGUCGUGAGAAACUGGCAGGCUAGAGUGCGGGAGAGGAGAGUGGAAUUCCUGGUGUAGCGGUGAAAUGCGCAGAUAUCAGGAAGAACACCCCGUGGCGAAGGCGGCUCUCUGGAACGUAACUGACGCUGAGACGCGAAAAGCGUGGGGAGCAAACAGG
rnacentral:rRNA from 1 species